GAUGAACGCUAGCCGCAGGCCUAACACAUGCAAGUCGAGGGGUAAGAUUAGCUUGCUAAUCUGAGACCGGCGCACGGGUGCGUAACGCGUAUGCAAUCUACCUUUUACAGAGGGAUAGCCCAGAGAAAUUUGGAUUAAUACCUCGUAGUAUUUUCGGCCGGCAUCGGUUGAUUAUUAAAGUACCAACGGUAAAAGAUGAGCAUGCGGCCUAUUAGCUAGAUGGUAAGGUAACGGCUUACCAUGGCAACGAUAGGUGGGGGUCCUGAGAGGGAGAUCCCCCACACUGGUGCUGAGACACGGACCAGACUCCUACGGGAGGCAGCAGUGAGGAAUAUUGGUCAAUGGGCGCAAGCCUGAACCAGCCAUGCCGCGUGCAGGAUGACGGCCCUAUGGGUUGUAAACUGCUUUUAUACGGGAAGAAACACCUCUUCGUGAAGAGGCUUGACGGUACCGUAAGAAUAAGGAUCGGCUAACUCCGUGCCAGCCGCCGCGGUAAAAC
rnacentral:rRNA from 1 species